rnacentral:rRNA from 1 species
CUACGGGCUGCUCCAGUGAGGAAUAUUGCACAAUGGAGGAAACUCUGAUGCAGCAACGCCGCGUGGAGGAUGACGCAUUUCGGUGUGUAAACUCCUUUUAUAUGUCAAGAAAAUGACGGUAGCAUAUGAAUAAGCUCCGGCUAACUCCGUGCCAGCAGCCGCGGUAAUACGGAGGGAGCAAGCGUUACUCGGAAUCACUGGGCGUAAAGGACGCGUAGGCGGGAUAGAAAGUCAGGUGUGAAAUCCUAUGGCUCAACCAUAGAACUGCACUUGAAACUUCUAACCUAGAGUAUGGGAGGGGAAGAUGGAAUUAGUGGUGUAGGGGUAAAAUCCGUAGAUAUCACUAGGAAUACCAAAAGCGAAGGCGAUCUUCUGGAACAAUACUGACGCUAAGGCGUGAAAGCGUGGGGAGCAAACAGGAUUAGAUACCCCCGUAGUC